rnacentral:rRNA from 1 species
CUGGAUUCGCUAGUAAUCGCGCAUCAGCCACGGCGCGGUGAAUACGUUCCCGGGCCUUGUACACACCGCCCGUCAAGCCAUGGAAGCCGGGGGUGCCUGAAGUGCGUGACCGCAAGGAGCGCCCUAGGGUAAAACCGGUGACUGGGGCUAAGUCGUAACAAGGUACC